UACAGAGACUGCAAGCGUUAAUCGGAAUUACUGGGCGUAAAGCGUGCGCAGGCGGUUCGUUAAGUUCGAUGUGAAAGCCCCGGGCUCAACCUGGGAACUGCAUUGGAAACUGGCGAGCUUGAGUAUGGCAGAGGGGGGUGGAAUUCCGCGUGUAGCAGUGAAAUGCGUAGAGAUGCGGAGGAACACCGAUGGCGAAGGCAGCCCCCUGGGCCAAUACUGACGCUCAGGCACGAAAGCGUGGGGAGCAAACAGG
rnacentral:rRNA from 1 species